UUUUCUAUCAAAAUUUGAAGAAAUUCAGAUUCUUCUAUACCGUUAAACUCCAAACUCGCUAUAGUAGCCCUUGAAAAUUAACAAUUUUGAAAUUAUUUGAUCAUAAAGUAAACUAUGUCGAAAAAAUAUAAAAUUUUAUGUCUAAAAACUUUAAAUACCCUAGAUCAGUUUUAACGGUGUGGAUCGUUGAUUUGAAUACCCUAAAAUCGAAAACGAGACUAUAGUACCAGAGACCCGGUACUAUAGAUAGUGUAGGAGACUAGCUCUUUCUCUCUCUCUCUCUCUCUCUCUCUCUCUCUCUCUCUCUCUCUCUCUCUAUAUAUAUAUAUAUAUAUAUAUAGUAGGUCUUGUGUGCUACCGUGCUCUAAGCCGUUUUUGAUGAUGGAGCUUUUAAAUCGACGAUCGGCUCCGUUAGAUUUGAUUUAGCAUAUUUGAAAUAUGUGGAAAAUAAAUUUUGCGAUUUUUCGAUAUCAUUUACCUAACAAUCAAAAAAGUUCGAAAUCAACAAUUUUUAAUGCUUGAUGUAUGUUGUUUGCAAGUUUAACAGUAUAGAAGUAUUCAAAUCAGAUAAAAUUUUGAUAGAAAAUUUUUAUACUAUUUACUGCAAGAUUAAUAUCUCUUAUCGAAAAUUUUAGUGCUAUAUUAUCAAUUUUUUUUGAGAUUUUUAUUUUCAGCUAUUGAUUUUGAACCCUUUCAAUCACUAGGUAAAUGAUAUCGAAAAUUUGCAAAAUUUAUUUGUCAAAUACUUUAAAUAAAUUAGAUUAAGUUUAACAGAGUCGAUUGCUGAUUCAGAAGUUCCAUCAUCGAAAACGACUUACGAGCAUGGAGGCCUCUGUGCUCCUAAUAGCACACAAGACCCACUCUAUAUAGAGUUUGGCUAAAAUAUUAUUGAUAGUAUUUGCUUUCUUUUGCUAUUAAAAUUAUAGGAUUAUGAUGAUAUUAGUCCCUUAAGGCUUCGUUUGGUUCGGAUAUAAGCAAAAACUAGUUAUACCGGGAAUAGGUACAAGUAUAAAUUUUCGUAGAAACAAGGAUAUUUUUUUGUUUGGAUGAAAAUGUGAGUAUAAGCUGGAACUAGAAAAAUUGCGUUUAGAUGAAAAUGUGAGUAUAAGGUGGAAUAGUUGGUAAUUAUAAAUAGAAAAUAAUAAUAUUA
rnacentral:lncRNA from 1 species